AGGAUUAUAGUUAAAUAUAACAUUUGAUUUGCAAUCAAAAAGUACUUAAAUAGUUAGUCUUU
rnacentral:tRNA from 1 species